AGAGUGCUUGAUGAAGAAACCCUAGGCUGGAAGAAGAACUCCUUCGCCUAGUUAGUUCGUCGAGGGGUGUCAGGGGGUCCGCGUGAGGCUUGGAUCGGGGGUUUUAUGAGAAGAGAGUUGCGUUGAUUGGAUUGAGUGAUUGCACAGCGUGGUAGCUGGCACUGAGAGGAAUCGAACGAGUGUGAAAUUGACGGAAAUGGACCCUGACACCCUCAGCAAGACCUUUGUGGAGCACUACUACAACACUUUCGAUACGAACCGGCCGGCGCUCAUUGGGCUGUAUCAGGAGGGUUCCAUGCUGACGUUCGAAGGGGAGAAGAUCAAAGGAGCUCAGGCCAUCAGCAACAAGCUCAAUGGGCUCGGAUUCCAGCAGUGCAAGCACCACAUCUCCACUGUGGACUGCCAGCCUUCGGGACUUUUGGAUAGUAUGAUUGUGUUCGUGAGCGGGAAUUUGCAGCUGCCAGGUGAAGAACAUAUGCUGAAGUUUAGCCAGAUGAAUGAGCUUAUGAUUCGCAUUCCGGUGAGUCUGGUGGGUCUUUCUUUACAUACUGAGGAAAUUGUUUAGUUGUUGCUGUUCUCAUGUAAUCUCUCGCGUGGGCGGAAGGGAAUCCCAGCGUCCUUUGAUAUGUUAGGAUUACAAGUCGAUGUUUCAUCUCGUUCCUGCAAACGGAACCUACUUUGUUUUCAAUGACAUUUUCCGCCUCAACUAUGCUUAAAUUCGUGUCUGCGUCAUCAGGAAAGUGGUUUUUUUUUUCCUAUCCGUAUUUGUGCAAGUUUGGUGAACGUGACGGCUGGGGUCGGACUUCGGGAUCUUUGAGCUGGGAUAUUUUGUGCCCACUUUUUACUGGCGCCAAAGUCAUGGCCGUUAGAUCUAAUAACAGUUGUAAGUUGGCCAUUUACCGUCAGAAAAAAAAUCCCAUCGUCGUUCUUGAUUAUCAUCUGGAAAAUUGUCGAUUGUAGUAGUUGCUUGCUUACUAUCGUCAGAAUUAUUUGUAGGCCAACCACUUCUGUGUUUUCAUGUAAUUUAUAUUCCAUGGUUGUAUCUCUUCAUACCAUAAAACCUUCCAAGGAGUUCUCUAAUGCAUCUCCUGUCCACCAGGAGUUGGCUAGUUCUCAUUGUUGGAACUGUAUCUUUCUGGUAGGAAAAUGUUUAGAGUGCGGGUUACAUUGAGUCAGGAAGUUUUUCGUUUGACGUUGAA